rnacentral:rRNA from 1 species
AGAGUUUGAUCCUGGCUCAGGACGAACGCUGGCGGCGUGCCUAAUACAUGCAAGUCGAGCGAAUCUGAGGGAGCUUGCUCCCAAAGAUUAGCGGCGGACGGGUGAGUAACACGUGGGCAACCUGCCUGUAAGACUGGGAUAACUUCGGGAAACCGGAGCUAAUACCGGAUAAUUCUUUUCCUCACAUGUGGAAAAGCUGAAAGAUGGCUCCGGCUAUCACUUACAGAUGGGCCCGCGGCGCAUUAGCUAGUUGGUGAGGUAACGGCUCACCAAGGCGACGAUGCGUAGCCGACCUGAGAGGGUGAUCGGCCACACUGGGACUGAGACACGGCCCAGACUCCUACGGGAGGCAGCAGUAGGGAAUCUUCCGCAAUGGACGAAAGUCUGACGGAGCAACGCCGCGUGAGUGAUGAAGGUUUUCGGAUCGUAAAACUCUGUUGUUAGGGAAGAACAAGUACCGUUCGAAUAGGGCGGUACCUUGACGGUACCUAACCAGAAAGCCACGGCUAACUACGUGCCAGCAGCCGCGGUAAUACGUAGGUGGCAAGCGUUGUCCGGAAUUAUUGGGCGUAAAGCGCGCGCAGGCGGUCUUUUAAGUCUGAUGUGAAAGCCCCCGGCUCAACCGGGGAGGGUCAUUGGAAACUGGGAGACUUGAGUGCAGAAGAGGAGAGUGGAAUUCCACGUGUAGCGGUGAAAUGCGUAGAGAUGUGGAGGAACACCAGUGGCGAAGGCGACUCUCUGGUCUGUAACUGACGCUGAGGCGCGAAAGCGUGGGGAGCGAACAGGAUUAGAUACCCUGGUAGUCCACGCCGUAAACGAUGAGUGCUAAGUGUUAGAGGGUUUCCGCCCUUUAGUGCUGCAGCAAACGCAUUAAGCACUCCGCCUGGGGAGUACGGCCGCAAGGCUGAAACUCAAAGGAAUUGACGGGGGCCCGCACAAGCGGUGGAGCAUGUGGUUUAAUUCGAAGCAACGCGAAGAACCUUACCAGGUCUUGACAUCCUCUGACAAUCCUAGAGAUAGGACUUUCCCCUUCGGGGGACAGAGUGACAGGUGGUGCAUGGUUGUCGUCAGCUCGUGUCGUGAGAUGUUGGGUUAAGUCCCGCAACGAGCGCAACCCUUGAUCUUAGUUGCCAGCAUUCAGUUGGGCACUCUAAGGUGACUGCCGGUGACAAACCGGAGGAAGGUGGGGAUGACGUCAAAUCAUCAUGCCCCUUAUGACCUGGGCUACACACGUGCUACAAUGGAUGGUACAAAGGGCUGCAAGACCGCGAGGUUUAGCCAAUCCCAUAAAACCAUUCUCAGUUCGGAUUGCAGGCUGCAACUCGCCUGCAUGAAGCCGGAAUCGCUAGUAAUCGCGGAUCAGCAUGCCGCGGUGAAUACGUUCCCGGGCCUUGUACACACCGCCCGUCACACCACGAGAGUUUGUAACACCCGAAGUCGGUGGGGUAACCGCAAGGAGCCAGCCGCCUAAGGUGGGACAGAUGAUUGGGGUGAAGUCGUAACAAGGUAGCCGUAUCGGAAGGUGCGGCUGG